rnacentral:lncRNA from 1 species
UUUUUUUUUCUUUUCUUUGAGAUUGAGUUGUAUGUACUGUUUAUAUAUUUUUGAUAUUAACCCACUGUCAGUCAUACUAUUUGCAAAUAUUUUCUCCCAUUUUGUGUUAGAAUUUUUAUUUUGUGAUGAUUUUCAAUGCUGUGCAAAAGCUCAAGUUUAUUUAGGUCCCAUUUGUUUAUUUUUGCUUUUAUUAAUUUUGCCAUAGAGGACAGAUCCAAAAAUAUAUUGCUGCAAUUUAUGUCAGAGUCUUUCUCUCUACAUUUUCUCUUAGGGGUUUUAUGGUUUGGGUUAUUAUGCUUAGGUCCUUAAUCCAUUUUGAGUUUAUAUUUGUGUAUGAUGAGAGUACAUGUUCUACUCUCAUUAUUUUACAUGUAGCACUCCAGUUUUCCCAGCACCACUUACUGAAGAGACUGUCUUUUCUCCACUGUAUGUUUUUGCCUCCUUUCUAGUAGAUUUAUUGACCGUAAGUGUGUGGCUCUCUAUUCUACUCCAUUGUAUGUGUCUGUUCUGUGAUUAUUUUAGCUCUGUAGUCAGGAAGCCUGAUAAUUCCAGCUUUGGUCUUUUUUCUCAGGAUUGCUUUGGCAAUGUGGUCAUUUUGUGGUCCUAUAUUUAUUUUAGGAUUAUUCAUUCUAGUUCUAUAAAAAAUGUCAUGGGUAUUUUGAUAGGGAUUGCUUUAAAUCUAUAGGUUGCUUUGAGAGAGGUAUGGCUAUCCCUUUUUUUUUUUUUUUUUUUAGGGCCACCCCCAUGGCAUGUGGAAGUUCCCAGGCUAGGGGUCGAAUUGGAGCUGUAGGUUGCUUUAAAUCUGUAGGUUGAUUUGAGAGAGGUAUGGCUAUUUUUAAAAUAUUAAUUCUUUCAAUCCAAAAGCUUGGGGUGUCUUUUCAUUUAAUUUGUAUCAUCUUCAGUUUCCUUCAUCAAUGUCUCAUACUUUUCAGUGUAUUAAUCUUUCACCUCUGUGGUUAAAUUUAUUCAUACGUAUUUUAUUAUUUUUGAUACAAUCAAACAUUUUUCCUUAUUUUCUCUGAUACUUUGUUAUUAGUAGAGAGCAAAAUGACAGAUUUCUGUACAUUGUGUGUACUUCAGAUUUACUGAAUUUAUGCUAAUGUUGAUGAAGUCUUUAGGGUUUUCUCUGUAUUAUCAUGUCAUCUGCAAACAGUGACAUUUUUACUUCCUUUACAAACUCGAUCCAUUUCUUUUGUUUUUUUGUCUUUUUGCAAUGGCCAGGAGUGUUGAUACUGUGUUGAUGAAAAGUGGUGAGAGCAAGCAUCUUGCCCUGCUUUACCUUUACCCUAUAUUCCUGCUCGAAAAACAGGCGCAGUGCUGGCAGAUGACUUAAGCUUAAGAACAAAGACCUGAAGGCAUAAGUUAUUCAUGUGGUCAGCUGAAUGAGGACAUAAUGCGUUGGUCUAGGCAUGCUGGACCUGUGCAGAUAGGCAUGCUGUUUGCACAGCAUGAUACAUCCUCUUAAGAAUAAGAGGAAGAUGAGCCUCCUGGCCCCAAGGGAUUUAUGAGAGGUCCUUAGUAGGAUAUGCAUCAGCAAGGAGAACCGAGGUGCAAACCUAGGCACACAGGGUUGCUGCAGAUAGGCAUGCUGUCUGCAGAAGCACAGCGGUGAUUCUCUAGAUGCUAUGCAUAGAUGGGAGGCACCUAGCUUCCUCAGUGCUAAGGACUGUUAAAUGCCUAAAGGAUAAAAGCUUAAUCAGCAACCGGCUAUGGGACUUUUAAAAUAAUAAUAAAAAAACCUAUAUCCUGCAUCUAUCGGCCCCUCCUCACUUGCCGUCAUCCUAAAGAGCACAAUGAAAACAGUGUGGUUUCUUGAGGCAGCGCUCUUGGUCCCUGAGACCUUGAGUGCCCCAGUUCCCACCUUUGAUUAAGAUAAAUGUCUCUGUGUCUUGUUUUAUGUUAACUUUUUCUUAAGUUUCACAGCACCCAUCCUUCAGCCCCACCCUGCUGAGCUGGUCUCGGCAGACCUGGGAAAUCGGGUUCCUUCUCCAGGCUAGGAAAUUCAUCAGUUAGUAUGUCCUCCAAAUUCUCUGCCCCCUUCUCUCUUUCUCCCCUUUCUGGGACCCCUAUAAUGCUGUUAAUAUUCUUGAUGUUGUCUAAGAGGUCCUUUUACCCAUCAUCUCUUGUUUACUUCUUGCUAUUCAACUUUUGUGAUUUUCACUAUUGUCUUCCGGGUCACUGAUCUAAUUCUUCUGUAAUAUAUAAUGUUGCUUCCCUCCAGUGUGUGUGUGUAAUCUCAGUUGUAUUUUGAGCUGUUUGCUCUUUUAUAUUUUAAUAUUCUUUGUUGAAGUUCUGAUUUAUUACUCUUUGUUGAAGUUCUAACUAUGUCCCUCUAUUAUUCUCCUAACUUGAGUGAGCACCUUUAUAAUCGUGGAUGCCUUUUUUUCAGGUAGAAUGCUUGUCUCAGCUUUGUCUAGUACUUUUCCUGCUGCUGUCUUGUUACUUCAUUUGUAACAUUUACUUUCUUGUUUCCACAUUCUCUGUGCAUUUCUAUUCAUUAGGUUUGGUUCAUUGCAUUUCCCAGUCACAGAGAAGUGGCCUUAUCUACAGGGCCCAAUAGCACAUUCCCUUUUGGCCAGCAGAGCCAGACGCUCUGUGGGGGGUCCCCCAUGUGGAAUGCCUGCACCUUUUUGCAGUGGCAGGGCCAGGUACUGUGGACUAGCUGGUAGGUGGCAUUGGACCCUGGCCUAAAUGGCUGAGGCCCUGCAUUAUGUGAUUGCUGUGGGUGUGCUGGAGGGCACGCAGCCCUCUGUUACGGAGAGCUGUGUGGUGCUCAGGUAGUGGGGUGGGCCCCAAGUGUGCCUGGUUGUGAGGCCUUGUGUUGCAGAGGUGCUGUAGGCAUGGUGGUGGAAGGGAAAGACCCUAAUGCUAAUCAGUUAGAUAAUCAUUUCAUGAUGUAUUUUAGUCAAAUUAUUAUGCUGUACACCUUAAACAGUGUUGUAUGUCAAUUAUAUCUCAAUAAAAGUUAAAGGAAAAAAUGAAUAAUACCUUAAUAAACCUAACUUAGGAAAAAAAGUUAUAGCAAGAUUAAGUGAAUCCCCCACCAGACUUCCAUGUCUUUGUUGUUAGGAAAUCUAUCAAUAUAAUUUACCACCUUAUAAAUUUAGGAAAGGCCUGGGAUCAACUUGACAGAUGCGAACAAAGUAGCAUGGUAGAACUGUAUAGGUAAUACUUAUAAAAAUAAAGAAGGUAUUAAUGCAUAUGUACUCAAAGAAAUGUUACAUACCCCCAAUACUAGUUCAUCUAGAAAAGUAGUAUAGAUUAAUAAUUCUCAUUCUGACAGAAAAUUAAUGAGAAAACACCGACCUGCAUAACAGAGAAGUAAACCAAGGAGAGAAGUAAACCAAGGAGUUCCCGUCAUGGCUCAGUGGUUAACAAAUCCGACUAGGAACCAUGAGGUGGCGGGUUCGGUCCCUGCCCUUGCUCGGUGGGUUAACGAUCCGGCGUUGCCGUGAGCUGUGGUGUAGGUUGCAGACUCGGCUUGGAUCCCGAGUUGCUGUGGCUCUGGCGUAGGCCAAUGGCUACAGCUCCUAUUCAACCACUAGCCUGGGAACCUCCCUAUGUCGCAGGAGCAGCCCAAGAAAUGGCAAAAAGACAAAAAGACAAAAAAAAAAAAAAAAAAAAAAAAAAA